UAAUAGUAAAAAACAGUACAAGAUAAAACGAGAAGAUAACGUUGCUCAUUUCAUUAUCAGCACUGUAAACUCCGACCCUGUGAUAUUAAUCAACUAAAUUUAUGACAUAUUUAUAACGAGAGUAUAAUUUAAUUCGUGCAAUCGAGCUUAGAGAUGGAGAUGGACACCGGACACCGGGAUCGAAGGAUCAAUGACGACGACGGGCUUUCUCUGUUACAAGGAUUCGUUGAUCGAUUGAUCGAUUGCGAGAGGACGGGGACUGAUGACUAUAAUCGAGUUCGUUCGACGCUUGUAACCUCGCGCGCUACUGGAAUGAUACGCUAACAAGGGGCUAAUUAUGAGAGGGAUCGAUUUCGACUCAAUCAACUGGUAGAAAUUUUAUAAAACUACGAAGAGACUACAUUAUCUUAGAAACCACGAAUGUAAUAAGACAACAGAAUGUUUCCACGUCUUUUAUGGUGUUUUUAAAUAUAAUAUACUUCCAGAGAGGAUGUUUGCUAGUUUCAUUCAACUACCUAUGGGCUCCGUUAAGGCACUAACAUCCUAAGAUCGCUUUUACGUCGGUAUUUUUUAUCGUUCGUUGCUAGUUUUCAUUAUCGCUGCUAAGGCACGGUCCUACAAGUUCGGGGAGAAACUCUAAAGGCACCCUAGCGUGUCACCCAACACACCCACGCACACAUCUAAUGCUCUAAUAGCUACAUGGUUAAUUGUAAUCUUCUUGUCUUUUCUGUUUUUUUUUUUUUCGGUAGAUCAUGCUAUUCGUCGAUGCCAAAGACGUUACGAUUAAGAAAAUUAUUGC